rnacentral:rRNA from 1 species
AGCCAGACUCCUACGGGAGGCAGCAGUGGGGAAUAUUGCACAAUGGGGGAAACCCUGAUGCAGCGACGCCGCGUGAGCGAUGAAGUAUUUCGGUAUGUAAAGCUCUAUCAGCAGGGAAGAAGAUGACGGUACCUGACUAAGAAGCCCCGGCUAACUACGUGCCAGCAGCCGCGGUAAUACGUAGGGGGCAAGCGUUAUCCGGAUUUACUGGGUGUAAAGGGAGCGUAGACGGCGAUGCAAGCCAGAUGUGAAAGCCCGGGGCUCAACCCCGGGACUGCAUUUGGAACUGUGUGGCUGGAGUGUCGGAGAGGCAGGCGGAAUUCCUAGUGUAGCGGUGAAAUGCGUAGAUAUUAGGAGGAACACCAGUGGCGAAGGCGGCCUGCUGGACGAUGACUGACGUUGAGGCUCGAAAGCGUGGGGAGCAAACAGGAUUAGAUACCCCGGUA